AAACUGGGACUUUAGACUGAUAUACGACCAUGGAGCGGAUGCGAGGAACCCGGUGGGAAUCCGGGACUGGCGCGCAACGGUAUUGCCCUUAAGGGCACAAGUCCGAUACUCGCCCGUUCACUAUGUCUCGA
rnacentral:ncRNA from 2 species